GGGGGUUUUGCUCAGUGGUAGAGCACAUGCUUGGCGUGCAUGAGGUCCUGGGUUUAAUCCCCAAUGCCUCUG
rnacentral:tRNA from 1 species